rnacentral:rRNA from 1 species
UACAGAGGGUGCGAGCGUUGUCCGGAAUCACUGGGCGUAAAGGGCGCGUAGGUGGCGCUGCAAGUCGGUGGUGAAAGCUCGAUGCUUAACAUCGAGUCGGCCAUCGAAACUGCAGGGCUGGAGCACUGUAGGGGCAGAUGGAAUUCCGGGUGUAGCGGUGGAAUGCGUAGAGAUCCGGAAGAACACCGAUGGCGAAGGCAGCCCCCUGGGCUAGCACUGACGCUCAGGCACGAAAGCGUGGGGAGCAAACAGG